rnacentral:rRNA from 1 species
UGGCGACCGGGUGAGUAACACGUGACUAACCUACCUUCGAGUGGGGAUAACAUCGGGAAACCGAUGCUAAUACCGCAUAACAUCGCAAGAUCAAAGCAGCAAUGCGCUGGAAGAGGGGGUCGCGGCUGAUUAGCUAGUUGGCGGGGUAACGGCCCACCAAGGCGAAGAUCGGUAGCCGGCCUGAGAGGGCGCACGGCCACACUGGAACUGAAACACGGUCCAG